AAGAGACAGCAGUAGCCACGGUAAUACGUUGGGUGCAAGCGUUAAUCGGAAUUACUGGGCGUAAAGCGUGCGCAGGCGGUUCGUUAAGACAGAUGUGAAAUCCCCGGGCUUAACCUGGGAACUGCAUUUGUGACUGGCGGGCUAGAGUAUGGCAGAGGGGGGUAGAAUUCCACGUGUAGCAGUGAAAUGCGUAGGGAUGUGGAGGAAUACCGAUGGCGAAGGCAGCCCCCUGGGCCAAUACUGACGCUCAUGCACGAAAGCGUGGGGAGCAAACAGGAUUAGAUACCCCUGUAGUCCCUGUCUCUUAUAA
rnacentral:rRNA from 1 species